rnacentral:rRNA from 1 species
AUUGAACGCUGGCGGCGUGCCUAAUACAUGCAAGUCGAACGCAGUGGGGACGGGUGUGUAACACGUGGGUAACCUCCCAUCAGAGGGGAUAACACUUGGAAACAGGUGCUAAACCGAUACGGAUGGAGGGACCCGCGGUGCAUUAGCUAGUUGGUGAGGUAACGUCUCACCAAGGCCACGAUGCAUAGCCGACCGGAUAGGGUGAUCGGCCACACUGGGACUGAGACACGGCCCAGACUCCGACGGUAGGCAGCAGUAGGGAAUCUUCGGCAAUGGACGAAAGUCUGACCGAGCAACGCCGCGUGAGUGAAGAAGGUUUUCGGAUCGUAAAACUCUUUUGUUAGAGAAGCGGUAUCUAACCAGAAAGCCACGGCUAACUACGUGCCAGCAGCCGCGGUAAUAC